rnacentral:rRNA from 1 species
AGCAGCCGCGGUAAUUCCAGCUCCAAUAGCGUAUAUUAAAGUUGUUGCAGUUAAAAAGCUCGUAGUUGAAUUUUGGGGUCAGUAGGUCGGUCGUGCCACUGGUAUGAACUGGUUUUACUGAUUCCUCCCUCUUGAAGAACUGUAAUGCCAUUAAUUUGGUGUUGCAGGGAAUCAGGACUGUUACUUUGAAAAAAUUAGAGUGUUUAAAGCAGGCUUUAGCUUGAAUACAUUAGCAUGGAAUAAUGAAAUAGGACGUUUGAUCCUAUUUUGUUGGUUUCUAGGAUUGACGUAAUGAUUAAUAGGGAUAGUUGGGGGCAUUAGUAUUCAAUUGUCAGAGGUGAAAUUCUUGGAUUUAUUGAAGACUAACUACUGCGAAAGCAUUUGCCAAGGAUGUUUUCAUUAAUCAAGAACGAAAGUUAGGGGAUCGAAGACGAUCAGAUACCGUCGUAGUCUUAACCAUAAACUAUGCCGACUAGGGAUCGGAUGAUGUUAAUUUUUUAAUGACUCAUUCGGCGCCUUACG